rnacentral:rRNA from 1 species
CUACGGGGUGCUGCAGUGGGGAAUAUUGCAUAAUGGGCGCAAGCCUGAUGCAGCAACGCCGCGUGAACGAAGAAGGUUUUCGGAUCGUAAAGUUCUUUUCUUGGGGAAGAAACCAUGACGGUACCCAAGGAAUAAGCACCGGCUAACUACGUGCCAGCAGCCGCGGUAAUACGUAGGGUGCAAGCGUUAUCCGGAAUCACUGGGCGUAAAGGGUGCGUAGGCGGUUUUGCAAGUCAGAAGUGAAAGGCAAUGGCUCAACCAUUGUAAGCUUUUGAAACUGUAAGACUUGAAUGCAGGAGAGGUAAGUGGAAUUCCUAGUGUAGCGGUGAAAUGCGUAGAUAUUAGGAGGAACACCAGUGGCGAAGGCGACUUACUGGACUGUUAUUGACGCUGAGGCACGAAAGCGUGGGGAGCGAACAGGAUUAGAUACCCCCGUAGUC